rnacentral:misc_RNA from 1 species
ACUUCUGGGCGAGUAGGAUAACAGAAAUCGAUAUUUUUCAACUCGAUGCUCCCAUAGACAUUAGGUGGUUUCAGUGCUGAGUUAUCAUCUGGAUCAAUUUUGGGCACUCGAUCUAUAAUUUCAAAUACUGAAAUGAGAGAUUUCCGCCGUUUAAGAAUGUAUGGAGCCAAUCCAAAAGGCUCAACUAGUGCAAAUGUUGCAAAUGAGAAAACCAUGUACUCCUUGAUGGCUGUAGGCAGAUCCAUAUAAUGAUUCUUUACAGAAUAAGCAGUGUACCAGAGAAGAAGUGCAUUACAGGCAAAUAGAAGAAACUGUGAAAAGCCAAAUGCAAA